rfam:Alligator_sinensis, whole genome shotgun sequence
GCAAAGGUUGCUAUAGCAACCACUUCUUAUUUUGAAAUAAUUUUAAU